GAUGAAGAACGUAGCGAAAUGCGAUAAGUAAUGCGAAUUGCAGAAUUCAGUGAAUCAUCGAAUCUUUGAACGCACAUUGCGCCCGCUAGUAUUCUGGCGGGCAUGCCUGUCUGAGCGUCAUUUCAACCCUCGCCCCCGGCUUUUGCUGGGAGCGGUGUUGGGGAUCGGCCGCCCGUCACUGGGAGGCCGGCCCCGAAAUAGAGUGGCGACCACGCCGUGUGCUCCUCUGCGUAGUAGUAAAUCACCUCGCAGGCGGACAGCGGUGCGGCCUGCCGUAAAACCCCCAACUCUUUUUGGUUGACCUCAGAUCAGGUAGGAAUACCCGCUGAACUUAAGCAUAUCAAUAAGCGGAGGA
rnacentral:misc_RNA from 1 species